UGGGGAAUAUUGGACAAUGGGCGAAAGCCUGAUCCAGCCAUGCCGCGUGUGUGAAGAAGGUCUUCGGAUUGUAAAGCACUUUAAGUUGGGAGGAAGGGCAGUAAGCGAAUACCUUGCUGUUUUGACGUUACCGACAGAAUAAGCACCGGCUAACUCUGUGCCAGCAGCCGCGGUAAUACAGAGGGUGCAAGCGUUAAUCGGAAUUACUGGGCGUAAAGCGCGCGUAGGUGGUUCGUUAAGUUGAAUGUGAAAGCCCCGGGCUCAACCUGGGAACUGCAUCCAAAGCUGGCGAGCUAGAGUAGGGCAGAGGGUGGUGGAAUUUCCUGUGUAGCGGUGAAAUGCGUAGAUAUAGGAAGGAACACCAGUGGCGAAGGCGACCACCUGGGCUCAUACUGACACUGAGGUGCGAAAACGUGGGGAGCAAACAGG
rnacentral:rRNA from 1 species